AUUGAACGCUGGCGGCAUGCCUUACACAUGCAAGUCGAACGGCAGUACGGGUGCUUGCACCUGGUGGCGAGUGGCGAACGGGUGAGUAAUACAUCGGAACGUACCUUAUCGUGGGGGAUAACGCAGCGAAAGCUGUGCUAAUACCGCAUACGCCCUGAGGGGGAAAGCGGGGGAUCGAAAGACCUCGCGCGAUUAGAGCGGCCGAUGCCUGAUUAGCUUGUUGGUGGGGUAAAAGCCCACCAAGGCGACGAUCAGUAGCUGGUCUGAGAGGACGAUCAGCCACACUGGGACUGAGACACGGCCCAGACUCCUACGGGAGGCAGCAGUGGGGAAUUUUGGACAAUGGGGGCAACCCUGAUCCAGCAAUGCCGCGUGAGUGAAGAAGGCCUUCGGGUUGUAAAGCUCUUUUGUCAGGGAAGAAACACCGGCUCUAACACAGUCCGGGAAUGACGAUACCUGAAGAAUAAGCACCGGCUAACUACGUGCCAGCCGCCGCAGUAA
rnacentral:rRNA from 1 species